UGGACCGUGUGCCUAUAAUCAACACCUGAAA
rnacentral:piRNA from 1 species